CCACGAAGAAGAACGGUUUGUUUUUAACAAUGGUUUUUACGAAGAAGAAACUGCAGGUUUGUUGUAAUAAUUAUGUUCUUGUGUCUUUAGCUGUUCGUUGCAUUAUGUUAUUGAUAGGAAAUUUAAAUAAGAGGCAAAGACCGUAAAUUUAGAAAACUGAAACAUCAGACUCACUUCAUUGCAAUAGUAAGACGCUGUCCUGAAAGCACUUUUAGAAACCACUACAGCCUGGGGGUGACUAGUUCCAUGUUGCCAGAACUGCAGCAGAAUACCGUUUGCAUCGGAGCCACAGCCAUUCCCCCAUGUCCAACCGCCACAGGCACAUCGGCAACAGGGGUGCGGAGAACAGAAUGGAAUCAGACAGAGGAAGGAGAAGAGAAGUUUCCUCCACCACUGAACCAUCAAACACAGAACAGACUCCAACCCCUGAGACCGCCAGUUCACAACCCCCUCAGCCAGACACAGACCAGACUCCAACCCCUGAGACCUCCAGUUCACAACCCCCUCAGCCAGACACAGACCAGACUCCAACCCCUGAUACCUCCAGUCCACAACCCCCUCAGCCAGACCCCAACCUCUGGCCCUGAGACCUCCAGUCCACAACCCCCUCAGCCAGACACAGACCCCACCCCCGGGACCUCUCCAUUCAGCAGAAACAUCCCUAAGACAGUACCAGUCAAAAGUUUGGACACACCUACCCAUUCAAGGGAUUUUCUUUAUUUUAACUAUUUUUUACAUUGUAAAAUAGAUAUAAAAAAAACUAUGAAAUAACACAAAUAGAAUCAUGUUGUAACCAAAAAAAAUCUUAAACAAAUCUAAAUAUAUUUUAGAUUUUAGAUUAUUGAAAGUUGCCAGCCUUUGCCUUGAUGACAGUUUUGCACACUCUUAGCAUUCUCUCAACCAGCUUCAUGAGGAAUGCUUUUCCAACUGUCUUGCGGGCGUUCCCACAUAUUCUGAGUACUUGUUGGCCGCUUUUCCUUCACUCUGCGGUCCAACUCAUCCCAAACCAUCUCAAUUGGGUUGAGGUCGGGCUCUCCUCCUCAUGUGCAGGGCCCAGAGUUGUUCCUGCUGAUUAGUAGUGCCCAGAGCCUUUCCUUGACCACAUGACUUGACCAGGAAAAACAUCUGCCCAUGUCUCACUGUUCCCCCAUGUCUCCUCAGGACUUUGCUGGCCCAUUGGAAAACAUCCGCUGAAGAACCAAAGCCUCCAAAAGGAAAGACAAUAAAGAAACUUGCUCAAACAUCCCAAAAAAUAACAAACAAUGAAUCAUCUCAGAAGUGCAAAACACAACAGGCAAAUAAAUCACACUGUAGUUACAGCCCAAGAAGAGGAGGAUAAACAAAGCUGCCAAAAUACAGACACAAACAAAGAUUUUCCUCAAAUACCAGCCACAAACAAAGAAGUCUCUCAAAUGCCCCCAAUAAGGGAAGUGGACAUGGAGGUAACUGAAACAUGGGACGCAGCGGACAUUCUGACCUACCAGAUUCUAUGACAUCCUAUGGGUUCUCGCUCGCUUAUUUACACACACCAGUGCACAGUACACAAAUACUUUUCUUUUGUAAAGUUAUGUCGGCGAAGAAUGUUUCAUAAAACAAAGUUAGUUUUCAGAACCAAGAGUUGUACAUAGAUACUGUAUGUCUACAUUUGUUUUCUAUUUAAAAAGUAUCUCAAACAGAGGUUGUCCUCUACUGGUUAAGACCAUGGUCAGUUUCGGUACGUUGGUAUCAGUUUUAAAUGUAGUCAAACGUAUUUUCUUAGUUUCACUCCCUGGUAAAUGCAACGACUUGGGACUGGUCAAAGUGCUUGCACUAAAGCUGAACAUGCAGAAAACCUGAACAUUUUGAUUAUCAGGAGUGAACUUUACAUUAUUACAUCCUGAGCAUUGCCCCUGUCGUUUAAUGAAGGGUCAAUAAUGUUAAUCCAGCUGGAAAAACUAACAUUUUGUAUAAAAACAUUGUAAAUAUUUUUGUAGUUGAAUUAUUUAUUUUGUAUAGUUUAUCUCUGGAUCAAUACGUUUAGUGCUAUCCUGGAUCCUUGGGACAUCCCUAAAGAUUAUGGAUAUACGUCUCUCUACCCUAACAAUGUCGUUGUCCACAGAGGCACGGUGGGCUGUCUAGCUCCCGCCUUUCUUUGGAUUGGUGGAGACAUCUCAUUAUUGUAAUCUGUUUUUUAGUAUUUGAUGAGGGUUGUUGACGUCAAUCUCGAGUAUUCAAUGGCGGGAUACACUACUAGCCUUAUAACAAGAAUAUGCAUAUCCAUCUCCGAUAAAACGUGUUUUUUCUCAGAGUUGCUGGGCUGUCACGUGGCCUACUUAUAUCGGUACACUCGUAAGCAUUCCAAACGUCUAUUCGAUCAAAUAGACCUCAGGUAGCAAAUGAACCAUUCAUUGACCUCCAUACAAAAACUUGAAUAGUGGGCGAAACAACGAAAAAACCGCCACCUGUUGGAGGUGGACCGGUUUUCCGAAAAAUUAGGCUACUCUUCCUAUCUGGUUUCGACUUUCCUUUUUUAAAAUGUAUUUAUUUUUAUUUGCUCAUUAGGCUAUUCCUUUUAUUGACCUGUUCAAAGCAGAUCAAUAAAUACCAUUAAAGAUCCCACAUUAGAACUCCGUAACAUGAUGCACAGUAAAUAACCUGCAUCAUUACAGAUAACAUUUUUUAUCCAACAGCAACAUGUUUAUGUGCAAUGUGUUGACCUACGUGUUAAAAAUGUCCUCAUCUGUUUUUUGUUUUUUUACAUGUCUGAUGUAUUUAUAUUGUCUGUUUUCUGGUUUAGACGUUCUUUAAAACAUUUUUUUCUAUACAUUUAUUUUAUUCAUAAUACAAAAAUCAACUUACAUUGCUACAUCAAACAUGUCUAGCAAACCAAACACAGGUAUUAACAAUGCUCAAACAUACAAAAAAUAAAAAUAAAACACAAAAAAGAAACAAUUUAAGUGCAAUUAUAUUCACUCUGAAAAUAUCUUAUUAUGAUUCAUGAAGAUGUUAUUCUUGUCGUUAUUCACUAGGGUUAGUGUUUUAAUAAGAUAAUUCAAUUCAAUCAGAAAAAUUGGUAAUUUUGGUAUAGAAUUUUGGAAUUUUUGUUUGUGUAUAAAGUAUUUGGCAACAAGAAUUUAAAAAAAAAUAAGGUUUAGACUUUCCCGUCUACUCACUGUGGUUGUUCAAGCGUCACAUCCGCUUUUGACUUGCUCAUGCGUCAAUGAAUGCGGCGCUAAAGAAACGGAAGCGAGUAGCAGUGUUUCGCUUCACUUGAUAACAUUGUUAGUUAACUAUAAUAAACCAGUUAAAUAUAUAUCGUU
ensembl:lncRNA